CAUCUUCUACUCUGUUUUCUUCU
rnacentral:miRNA from 1 species